UACGUAGGGGGCAAGCGUUGUCCGGAAUCAUUGGGCGUAAAGAGCGCGUAGGCGGCCAGGUAGGUCCGUUGUGAAAACUCGAGGCUCAACCUCGAGACGUCGACGGAAACCAUCUGGCUAGAGUCCGGAAGAGGAGAGUGGAAUUCCUGGUGUAGCGGUGAAAUGCGCAGAUAUCAGGAAGAACACCCGUGGCGAAGGCGGCUCUCUGGGACGGUACUGACGCUGAGACGCGAAAGCGUGGGGAGCGAACAGG
rnacentral:rRNA from 1 species